rnacentral:rRNA from 1 species
GAUGAACGCUGGCGGCGUGCCUAAUACAUGCAAGUCGAGCGAACAGACGAGGAGCUUGCUCCUCUGACGGUAGCGGCGGACGGGUGAGUAACACGUGGAUAACCUACCUCUAAGACUGGGAUAACUUCGGGAAACCGGAUCUACUACCGGAUAAUAUAUUGAACCGCAUGGUUCAAUAGUGAAAGACGGUUUUGCUGUCACUUAUAGAUGGAUCCGCGCCGCAUUAGCUAGUUGGUAAGGUAACGGCUUACCAAGGCAACGAUGCGUAGCCGACCUGAGAGGGUGAUCGGCCACACUGGAACUGAGACACGGUCCAGACUCCUACGGGAGGCAGCAGUAGGGAAUCUUCCGCAAUGGGCGAAAGCCUGACGGAGCAACACCGCGUGAGUGAUGAAGGUCUUCGGAUCGUAAAACUCUGUUAUUAGGGAAGAACAAAUGUGUAAGUAACUAUGCACGUCUUGACGGUACCUAAUCAGAAAGCCACGGCUAACUACGUG